GUGACAGUGAGACUCUGUCUCAGAAAGAAAGCGAGAAAGAGAGAAAGGGGGCCAGGUGUGGUGGCUCAUGCCUGUAAUCCCAGCACUUUGGGAGGCCGAGGUGGGCGGAUCACGAGGUCGGGAGUUUGAGACCAGCCUGGCCAUCAUGGUGAAACCCCGUCUCUACUAAAAAUACAAAAAUUAGCCGAGCGUGAUGGUGG
rnacentral:lncRNA from 1 species